rnacentral:rRNA from 1 species
GCCAGCAGCUAUAUCACCCUGUAACUCAAAAAUUGGAGCCCAUUGAAGCUAUGCAGGUUGAACCUGGCCAAUACCUGGAUGGGAGACCUCCUGGAAAAAACUAAGGUUGCUGCUGGGA